AGUGAACGCUGGCGGUAGGCCUAACACAUGCAAGUCGAACGGCAGCGCAGUAAGAGCUUGCUCUUACGGGUGGCGAGUGGCGGACGGGUGAGGAAUACAUCGGAAUCUACUUUUUCGUGGGGGAUAACGUAGGGAAACUUACGCUAAUACCGCAUACGACCUACGGGUGAAAGCAGGGGAUCUUCGGACCUUGCGCGAUUGAAUGAGCCGAUGUCGGAUUAGCUAGUUGGCGGGGUAAGGGCCCACCAAGGCGACGAUCCGUAGCUGGUCUGAGAGGAUGAUCAGCCACACUGGAACUGAGACACGGUCCAGACUCCUACGGGAGACAGCAGUGGGGAAUAUUGGACAAUGGGCGCAAGCCUGAUCCAGCCAUACCGCGUGGGUGAAGAAGGCCUUCGGGUUGUAAAGCCCUUUUGUUGGGAAAGAAAAGCAGCAGGUUAAUACCCCGCUGUUCUGACGGUACCCAAAGAAUAAGCACCGGCUAACUUCGUG
rnacentral:rRNA from 1 species